GGGGUUGUAGCUUAGUGGUAGAGCACUUGCCUAGUAUGCAUGAGAACUUGAAUUAAAUUUCCAGCACUA
rnacentral:tRNA from 1 species